GCUAUAGAAGCUCAUGUCAGAGCGCUGGUCUUGUAAGCCAGAGGUAGGAAAAUCUCUUUAUAGCU
rnacentral:tRNA from 1 species